rnacentral:rRNA from 1 species
GAUAAGGUUAAGUGAAUAAGGGCGCACGGUGGAUGCCUUGGCACUAGGAGCCGAUGAAGGACGGGACUAACACCGAUAUGCUUUGGGGAGCUGUAAGUAAGCUAUGAUCCAGAGAUUUCCGAAUGGGGGAACCCAAUAUCUUUUAUAGGAUAUUACUUUUCAGUGAAUACAUAGCUGAUUAGAGGUAGACGCAGAGAACUGAAACAUCUUAGUACCUGCAGGAAGAGAAAGAAAAUUCGAUUCCCUGAGUAGCGGCGAGCGAAACGGGAAGAGCCCAAACCAACAAGCUUGCUUGUUGGGGUUGUAGGACUCCAAUAUGGUAGUCUGUUAGUAUAGUUGAAGGAUUUGGAAAAUUCCGCUAAAGAGGGUGAAAGCCCCGUAGACGAAAUGCUGACAACACCUAGGAGGAUCCUGAGUACGGCGGAACACGAGAAAUUCCGUCGGAAUCCGCGGGGACCAUCCCGCAAGGCUAAAUACUCCCUAGUGACCGAUAGUGAACCAGUACCGUGAGGGAAAGGUGAAAAGCACCCCGGAAGGGGAGUGAAAUAGAUCCUGAAACCGUGUGCCUACAACAAGUCAAAGCUCGUUAAUGAGUGAUGGCGUGCCUUUUGUAGAAUGAACCGGCGAGUUACGAUUGCAUGCGAGGUUAAGUCGAAGAGACGGAGCCGCAGCGAAAGCGAGUCUGAAUAGGGCGAAUGAGUAUGUAGUCGUAGACCCGAAACCAUGUGAUCUACCCAUGUCCAGGUUGAAGGUGCGGUAAAACGCACUGGAGGACCGAACCCACGUACGUUGAAAAGUGCGGGGAUGAGGUGUGGGUAGCGGAGAAAUUCCAAACGAACUUGGAGAUAGCUGGUUCUCUCCGAAAUAGCUUUAGGGCUAGC